AAACACUGGAGCCAAGCACCCAUGGACAUGGGAAAGUUGCCUUCUGGAUCCACGUGCUGGAGGGCUCUGGCAGGCCCACCUACCUCGGGAACAGAUGUUUCAUUCAUACCAUUAUCAUCUGAGGUCACAUGAAGCAGUGCUGUUAGCUAAUUGACAGCUGUUUACCAGUGGCUGAAUGUCAACGUGCAUGAAAAGAAAAAUAUUAUUGCAUCCUUCACUCAAGUGUAGAAGUGUGGAUUCUCUGAAAUCACUCCAGCUGCAGUGGAAUUACAAGAGCCAGGAAAAGUACCUGAAGCCUCUAAUCAUUGACUUUGAGAGCACAGUGAGGUACCCAACACUGGUGCUAGCUCCCAGGAAGCUCUACAGUGUGGUGAAAAGCAUCCAGGAGCAGAAAUCCCACCAAGAAACGAAC
rnacentral:lncRNA from 1 species